UCUCGGAUAUCCUCUUCCCGAGUCCGUUCGAGAUCAAACCAUCACAUUCCACCGCGUCCCCAACAAUGAAAAAGGUGGGGGGGAUUCCAGAGAAGUCAACACAGAAGUGCAACCUUUCAGAUGCUGGUGUGAACCGAGCAUAGAUGCACCAACUUGGAAAGCUUGACAAUAUAGCGGGUUAUGGCCGGUAUUUAAACACAUAUAACCCAGAUGAGACCAAAUGUGGGGCAGCAUGUCGUGUGGGGAAACAUGCGCUUAUCCGAAGACAUCCAGCUCUUACAGCAUUGUGUGCAUCCACUGGUUGGCGUCUCUGCGUGCAUUGUUGCUCUCAUGCUACUCUCUUAUUAAGUAGAAAAAAAAAGGGAUG